AUUGAACGCUGGCGGCAGGCCUAACACAUGCAAGUCGAGCGGAUGAAGGGAGCUUGCUCCUGGAUUCAGCGGUGGACGGGUGAGUAAUGCCUAGGAAUCUGCCUGGUAGUGGGGGAUAACGUCCGGAAACGGGCGCUAAUACCGCAUACGUCCUGAGGGAGAAAGUGGGGGAUCUUCGGACCUCACGCUAUCAGAUGAGCCUAGGUCGGAUUAGCUAGUUGGUGGGGUAAAGGCCUACCAAGGCGACGAUCCGUAACUGGUCUGAGAGGAUGAUCAGUCACACUGGAACUGAGACACGGUCCAGACUCCUACGGGAGGCAGCAGUGGGGAAUAUUGGACAAUGGGCGAAAGCCUGAUCCAGCCAUGCCGCGUGUGUGAAGAAGGUCUUCGGAUUGUAAAGCACUUUAAGUUGGGAGGAAGGGCAGUAAGUUAAUACCUUGCUGUUUUGACGUUACCAACAGAAUAAGCACCGGCUAACUUCGUGC
rnacentral:rRNA from 1 species